CCUUGAAUAAUCACAUUAUAACAAUAAUCAUCCGGUAAACAUCCACCCUUUUCCAUUUCUCUGAACACCUUGUAUGCUUCACUUAGUAACCCUUCCUUACAAAGUCCUUUUAUUAUUGUAUGAUAUAUAUUGACAUCAGGCUGUAAAUCAUUUUCAAAAAGCCUAGAGAACAAUUCUUUGGCAUCAUUAACCUUUCCAGCUUUGCACAUACCAUCGAUCAAAAUGUUGUAGAUCACAAGAUCAGGCUCCAACUGACUUUCUUCCAUUGCUUUAAAUAGUGUGAGUGCCUCAUCAAGAUUCCCCUGUUUGCACAAGCCAUUGAGAAUAGUUGAGAAAGUUAUUAUAUUUGGUUGUUGACCACAAGAACACAUGCUCUUGAAAACCUCAAGUGCAUUUCCAGGUCGCCCAGCUUCCCAUAAUCCCUUUAUAAAAGUAGUAUAAGUAACAGUGUUGGGAACUACACUAGUUUUAAGCAUUUCAUCAAAAAGUUUUGUUGCUUCAUCUAUCCUUUUGCUCUUGCAGUAUCCAUUAAUCAAGAUGUUGAAGCUAA
rnacentral:misc_RNA from 1 species